CCCCCCACCUCCUGUUCCCAGGCUAGGGGUCCAAUCAGAGCUCCAGCCGCCGGCCUACUCCAGAGCCACAGCAAGGUGGGAUCCGAGCCGCGUCUGCGACCUACACCACAGCUCUCACAGCAACCGGAUCCUUCACCCACUGAGCAAGGCCAGGGAUCGAACCCGCAACCUCAUGGUUCCUAGUCGGAUUCAUUAACCACUAAGCCACAACGGGAACUCCCAUAGUUAUUCCUGACACGUGUACCACUACUUUGCCCAUGACUGCUCAGGACUUUCCUGGGAUCCUUCCUGCCCCUGGCUACAGAGUGACCUUGUCUGUGACCAGUGUUACUCAGACAUCAAGCCUUCCAUUGAAGGAGAGUGGGUAGGAGGGUUGGGCUCGCUUCUUCACAGGUAAUUUUCAAGGUUCUGGACCCAGCCAUUCUUGUGGAGAGCCCAAACAACCCCAAGAUUCAGGAUAAUUAUCCCCACAGCCAGUCCUGUACCCCUGUGUCAACAAAAUGAGAUAAUUUCUGGAGGUGGGUUGUGAUCCUGCCUGGGUAUGUGUACCAGUGGUGUAGGGUGGCAGGCAAGUCAGUUCAGUCCUCUAAGGAUUGUUCCCCAGCUCUGACCCAUCAUGGUCCUCUGUUGUCCCUGUUAUUGCUUUCCAGUACUGUUCCUGAUGCCUAUGCCCAGUGCAUGGGGACUGGCCUUAUGGGUAGCAGUUUUCAUCUCUGUCCCUUAUAGUUCCCUCAUCACUGAAUUCCUUUGUGAGGCCCCACUUUGAUCCUCAAUACUGCUGUCCAUGCCAGCCCAAUAGCUGACCCCAUCUCUGUCCCAUCACUGUACCUCAUAACUCUCUGUAAGCCACUGUCAUAGUUCCCCAUCAUUCCACCAUCAUUAUCCCCUGUUGCUGCCCUUUGCCCUUUGAUUCAUCACCUGGCCUUAACUGGUACCCCAUGUCCCUAAGCCUCCUCCAUAUGGCACCAGGGCAUUGCUGCAUGUGACCUCUUUCUUGUCAAGAAGAAGUGUUGUUAAACAAGAGAGACAUAAUCGAGACUCAGCAGGGCAGCCCAGAGCCAGUACGGGAGAGUACCAGAACAGGAGGACAGACUCCAAACUAGCUUUUUCUCUAUGUUCUCCACUCACCUUGACUUGGAUCAUUACUAGCUACUCACCUGGACACCUACCCACCCCUCCCCCAUUCUGGAGCAGCUGUUGCGUGUUUCUCCAAUCAAAAGGGGAGCUCUGGCAAAGGGAUACAGGAGGUGGCUUGGUAGCUGACUUGAGCUGUGUAGAGAAAAAGGAGCCACAGACCAUGGUUUUCUAUCCAUGUGUUCAUUUAACAAGUGCCCAUGGAGCCCCACUGUGUGCCAGGCAUCUUCUGGGCAGUGCCCAGUGGGAAGCAGAUAAAGGAGUUAUUUGUUUUGGAACUGACAGGAAAAUGAGAAAGGCAGUCAAUAAAUAAGCUAACAA
ensembl:lncRNA